CUUUCCGAAUGCACUGUAUAAACUAGGAUUGGGAUCCAGUCCUUUUCACUUCAUCCCCUGAGUUGGCUGAAUUGAAAUGGAAUUGGCUGCAAACCUGGUGCCACGUAUGCCAACCCUUUCAGGGUGCGCUAACUACAACCAAGCAGCAGCCAAGUGAACCUGCAGUAGAAGCUGUAAAAGCAGUCUUAAUGUUUGUCUCUCGGACAGACCUAACUUUCUGUAUCACUGUUGGACUUUCCACAGCAAAUCGACAGCCUGAUUCACAGUAACCUGGCAGACAUUGUGGUGGAGCUGUUGAUGACCCUGUAUGAUGGGGCUGCUACUGAGGGGGGCAGAGGGGACCUGAGGAGGUGCAUAGGGUAAUGUUCAUUACACAUCACUCCUUACCACUCCACAACACUUGCAUUCACAACCUUUCAUUGUCUGUGAUGAUAUGUUCCAUGUUCUCUCUAGGGAACUGGACCCAGCCCCAAACCCACCCUCCAUCAGCUCCAAUGUUAUCAAAGCCACACUGGACUACCUCAGCAAAUGUCACAGUGCCAGUCACAAGUCCCUGGUGGCCAUUUUAUCCAGGACACUGAUCUCCAUCCAGAGGAUCCUGCUGGCGGUGUGUCAGAAGGCAGCUGAGACGAUCAAUGCCUACGAGAGGCACCGUCCUGCUGAUGUACCCCAUGCUUGUCUGUCUACUGCUCAGGGAGGUCAAGGACGGCCUGGGGGGAGCCUGGGCCUUCGUCCUCCGAGACAUUAUCGACACACUUAUCCACCACAUCAACAGCAGGUCGGCCCAGUUGGACGAGUUGUCGAGGCGUAGUUUCUCCCUGUGUUGUGACCUACUGACCUCUGUGUCCCACAGACGUGUACGUAGUUCUGUGACGACACUGGAGUGCCACCUACAGGUUAUUGUUGGUACUCAAUGCCCAGGUGACCAAUCAACUUGCCAUCUCACAGCAGGUAUACACAGAAGGUGCAGUGGGAGUUUAAGCUGGAAAAGAGGGCUCUGUCCAACCUGCAGGUUUACAGAAGGAACUUCCUGUGUAAGGCUGUAGGGAACUACAUCCAGUGUCUGGAGCAGGGUGAGGAGCACGACACCUGGGUGUUCCGCCUGGCCUCACUGUGGUUGGAGAACGCUGACAUCAAGACAGUCAAUGACAUGAGGGGAGGUGUGAAGAGGAUCCCAUCCUAUAAGUUUCUGCCUCUCGUGUACCAGCAGGCUGCAAGCACAGGGAUAAAAAAUGUCUGCUAAAGUGUCAGAGGAUGUGGGUUUCCAUGAUGUUCUCAAUGAGGUGAGACUUUAAUAUGUUUCAAUAGGCAACAGAAGCCAAAAACAUAAAUGCACCUGUGAACUAUAGAGUUUAUCUGCCUGACACUCUUUCCUCUGGUCUAAAAAAAGAUCCCAGGGCAGUGAUUGGGGACAUUAGCCUGUGUAGUGUGCUGGUUUUCCUGACUCUCUGUGGUCACUGAAAGAUCCCAUGGAAUGUAAGAGUAGGGGUGUUAACCCUGGUGUCCUGGCUAAAUUCCCAAUCUGGUUCUCAUACCAUCAUGGCCACCUAAUCAUCCCCUGCUUCCAAUUGGCUCAUUAAUCCCCACUCCUUUCCCAUGUAACUAUUCCUCAGGUCGUUGCUGUAAAUGAGAAUGUGUUCUCAGUCAACUUAUCUGGUAAAAUAAGGUUUAAAUCAAAUAAAACACAACCACCUUCACAAAUGACUUUUGGGCUUUUACUGGUGUAUGAAGUUACCGUCCCUUGUGUUCCUCUGUAUAAGCCCUCCCCUUUGACCUGCCCAUCAUGCCGAUAAAGAACCUAUAUGAUGUCGUCAUUCCUACGAUGGAGAUCAAGGUAGAGAAUGGGUUUGAUCAUCUGUGGAUCCCUCACUAAUCUAUCACCUGACAUAUGGGGAUUUUUGUUAUGCAAUAUGAUGUUUUGCAGCCAUUUUGCAUAGAAUUUGCACUGUAAUGUAUGUAUACACUGGCUCCACGGUAUAUAUUAUAAUUCAGAAAUGUUCACAAGUUGUUCACUGUUUUCACAAGAGACAGACUGACACACAUUUUCUGUUUUGACUGAGUUUAUGGUAUACCUGCCACCCCUACUCUGCUCUCCACAACACAAUACAAUCAUUACUAUACCUACAACAAAUAUUUUCUUAAACAUUUGGCUAUUUCUCUGAUGGUACUGUAGUACCAGUMAAAUGUUUGGACACACCUACUCAUUCAAGGGUUUUUCUUAAUUUUUUACUAUUUUCUACAUUGUAGA